GAGUUUGAUCAGGCUCAGAUUGAACGCUGGCGGCAGGCCUAACACAUGCAAGUCGAGCGGUAGAGAGAAGCUUGCUUCUCUUGAGAGCGGCGGACGGGUGAGUAAUGCCUAGGAAUCUGCCUGGUAGUGGGGGAUAACGCUCGGAAACGGACGCUAAUACCGCAUACGUCCUACGGGAGAAAGCAGGGGACCUUCGGGCCUUGCGCUAUCAGAUGAGCCUAGGUCGGAUUAGCUAGUUGGUGAGGUAAUGGCUCACCAAGGCGACGAUCCGUAACUGGUCUGAGAGGAUGAUCAGUCACACUGGAACUGAGACACGGUCCAGACUCCUACGGGAGGCAGCAGUGGGGAAUAUUGGACAAUGGGCGAAAGCCUGAUCCAGCCAUGCCGCGUGUGUGAAGAAGGUCUUCGGAUUGUAAAGGCACUUUAAGUUGGGAGGAAGGGCAGUAAAUUAAUAACUUUGCUGUUUUGACGUUACCGACAGAAUAAGCACCGGCUAACUCUGUGCCAGCCGCCG
rnacentral:rRNA from 1 species